UACGUAGGGUGCGAGCGUUGUCCGGAAUUAUUGGGCGUAAAGGGCUCGUAGGCGGCUUGUCGCGUCGACUGUGAAAACCCACGGCUCAACUGUGGGCUUGCAGUCGAUACGGGCAGGCUAGAGUUCGGUAGGGGAGACUGGAAUUCCUGGUGUAGCGGUGAAAUGCGCAGAUAUCAGGAGGAACACCGGUGGCGAAGGCGGGUCUCUGGGCCGAUACUGACGCUGAGGAGCGAAAGCGUGGGGAGCGAACAGG
rnacentral:rRNA from 1 species